AGUGAACGCUGGCGGUAGGCCUAACACAUGCAAGUCGAACGGCAGCACAGUAAGAGCUUGCUCUUACGGGUGGCGAGUGGCGGACGGGUGAGGAAUACAUCGGAAUCUACUUUUUCGUGGGGGAUAACGUAGGGAAACUUACGCUAAUACCGCAUACGACCUACGGGUGAAAGCAGGGGAUCUUCUGACCUUGCGCGAUUGAAUGAGCCGAUGUCGGAUUAGCUAGUUGGCUGGGUAAAGGCCCACCAAGGCGACGAUCCGUAGCUGGUCUGAGAGGAUGAUCAGCCACACUGGAACUGAGACACGGUCCAGACUCCUACGGGAGGCAGCAGUGGGGAAUAUUGGACAAUGGGCGCAAGCCUGAUCCAGCCAUACCGCGUGGGUGAAGAAGGCCUUCGGGUUGUAAAGCCCUUUUGUUGGGAAAGAAAAGCAGCAGGUUAAUACCCCGCUGUUCUGACGGUACCCAAAGAAUAAGCACCGGCUAACUUCGUG
rnacentral:rRNA from 1 species